GGUUAUAUGGCCGAGAUUUUAGGCGGUAGAUUGUAAAUUUACAGACGGAUGGGUUCCUUUAACCA
rnacentral:tRNA from 1 species